UAAUACAGAGGGUGCGAGCGUUAAUCGGAGUGACUGGGCGUAAAGGGCGCGUAGGCGGUUAGAUUAGUCUGAUGUGAAAGACCUGGGCUUAACCUGGGAUGUGCAUUGGAAACGGUCUAGCUAGAGUUUGAGAGAGGGAAGUGGAAUUUCCGGUGUAGCGGUGAAAUGCGUAGAGAUCGGGAAGAACACUCGUGGCGAAGGCGACUUUCUGGCUCAAAACUGACGCUGAGGCGCGAAAGCGUGGGGAGCAAACAGGAUUAGAUACCCUGGUAGUCCACGCGGUAAACGAUGAGAACUGGAGGUAUGUAUGCGAAAGCGUAUGUGUCUCUUAAGCUAACGCACUAAGUUCUCCGCCUGGGGAGUACGGCCGCAAGGUUA
rnacentral:rRNA from 1 species